UGCCCAGCGACUCCUAUCCCUACCUUCUCGUGAUACUGGUCGGGGUACGAGUAGCCUUAGGGAAGAUCGGGUAGCUAACCCCGAUGGGAGCUUUGGUCGUAUGGUGACAGGGAAGG
rnacentral:ribozyme from 1 species